GAUGAACGCUGGCGGCGUGCCUAAUACAUGCAAGUCGAGCGAACGGACGAGAAGCUUGCUUCUCUGAUGUUAGCGGCGGACGGGUGAGUAACACGUGGAUAACCUACCUAUAAGACUGGGAUAACUUCGGGAAACCGUAGCUAAUACCGGAUAAUAUUUUGAACCGCAUGGUUCAAAAGUGAAAGACGGUCUUGCUGUCACUUAUAGAUGGAUCCGCGCUGCAUUAGCUAGUUGGUAAGGUAACGGCUUACCAAGGCAACGAUGCAUAGCCGACCUGAGAGGGUGAUCGGCCACACUGGAACUGAGACACGGUCCAGACUCCUACGGGAGGCAGCAGGAGGGAAUCUUCCGCAAUGGGCGAAAGCCUGACGGAGCAACGCCGCGUGAGUGAUGAAGGUCUUCGGAUCGUAAAACUCUGUUAUUAGGGAAGAACAUAUGUGUAAGUAACUGUGCACAUCUUGACGGUACCUAAUCAGAAAGCCACGGCUAACUACGUG
rnacentral:rRNA from 1 species